UGCUGAGCUCCCCUUCCCUGAGGCCCCGACGUGUGUGCUGCGCUCCUCGGCUCCUGGGGCUUCUGUGGCUGAGGGGCUGCAUCUGCCUCAGCCUGGCUGUGACCCGCUCAGCCGUGCUUCCCCUCUUUCAGCCGGUGGCUGCUGGCAGUGGAAUCCCCCAGAUCAAGUGCUUCCUCAACGGGGUGAAGAUCCCCCACGUGGUGCGGCUCAAGACGUUGGUGAUCAAAGUGUCCGGUGUGAUCCUGUCCGUGGUCGGGGGCCUGGCUGUGGGAAAGGUAACAAAGUGCACAUGGCCACCCCAGCUGGAGCCUGAGGCUGCCAGGCCCGCGAGGGCCGCCACGCCCACGUGUGUCUCUCUGAGCGCAGGUCCUUCUGGUCUCCAGGAAGGGCCGCGUCGCGUGUGUCUCUGAGCACCGGUCCUUCUGGUCUCCAGGAAGGGCCG
rnacentral:sRNA from 1 species